CCUACGGGAGGCAGCAGUGGGGAAUUUUGGACAAUGGGCGAAAGCCUGAUCCAGCCAUGCCGCGUGCAGGAUGAAGGCCUUCGGGUUGUAAACUGCUUUUGUACGGAACGAAAAGGUCUUUUCUAAUAAAGAAGGCUCAUGACGGUACCGUAAGAAUAAGCACCGGCUAACUACGUGCCAGCAGCCGCGGUAAUACGUAGGGUGCGAGCGUUAAUCGGAAUUACUGGGCGUAAAGCGUGCGCAGGCGGUUAUAUAAGACAGUUGUGAAAUCCCCGGGCUCAACCUGGGAACUGCAUCUGUGACUGUAUAGCUAGAGUACGGUAGAGGGGGAUGGAAUUCCGCGUGUAGCAGUGAAAUGCGUAGAUAUGCGGAGGAACACCGAUGGCGAAGGCAAUCCCCUGGACCUGUACUGACGCUCAUGCACGAAAGCGUGGGGAGACAAACAGGAUUAGAUACCCUGGUACGUCCACGCCCUAAACGAUGUACAACUGGUUGUUGGGUCUUCACUGACUCAGUAACGAAGCUAACGCGUGAAGUUGACCGCCUGGGGAGUACGGCCGCGAAGGUUGAACUCGAAAGGAUUGACGG
rnacentral:rRNA from 1 species